CACUUUGUAAACAGACUGGCUUUGAAC
rnacentral:piRNA from 1 species